CUACGGGGGGCUCCAGUGGGGAAUAUUGCACAAUGGAGGAAACUCUGAUGCAGCAACGCCGCGUGGAGGAUGACACUUUUCGGAGCGUAAACUCCUUUUAUAUAGGAAGAAGAUGACGGUACUAUAUGAAUAAGCGCCGGCUAACUCCGUGCCAGCAGCCGCGGUAAUAGGGAGGGCGCAAGCGUUACUCGGAAUCACUGGGCGUAAAGAGCGUGUAGGCGGAUUAAAAAGUCAGAAGUGAAAUCCUAUAGCUUAACUAUAGAACUGCUUCUGAAACUCUUAAUCUAGAAUAUGGGAGAGGUAGAUAGAAUUUCUGGUGUAGGGGUAAAAUCCGUAGAGAUCAGAAGGAAUACCGAUUGCGAAGGCGAUCUACUAGAACAUUAUUGACGCUGAGACGCGAAAGCGUGGGGAGCAAACAGGAUUAGAUACCCUCGUAGUC
rnacentral:rRNA from 1 species